UGGGCCGGCGACUCCGCAUCGCCCUGGGCCGGCGACUCCGCAUCGCCCUGGGCCGGCGACUCCGCAUCGCCCUGGGCCGGCGACUCCGCAUCACCCUGGGCCGGGGACUCCGCAUCACCCUGGGCCGGGGACUCAACAUCACCCUGGGCCGGCGCCUCAGGGCUCGUGCUUUAACGGCGCACCUCAGCAUUGCCCUGGGCUGUCUCACCUCAACACCACGGCUCAACACCACGGCUCAAAAUCACAACUCGGCAUCACAAUGGGCCAUCGCCUCAGCAUCGCACUGGGCUGUCGCCCCAACUUUAGCGCCAGUCACCUGCUUGUAUCGGUAUCCUCAUCCAUCCUGCAUGACAAACUUAUCACAGCUACCCACUGGUAGCGAGUAGGAGUUUAUGUCUAUUUUGAUAUGCCAUUUUUGUUCCGGUGCCGUUAUUCAGUGAUGUUUCAGCUUUCUGCUCUGUCCCUCUCAGGUCUCGAUAACCGGCUCUCCAACUCUCCUCUGUCGUAAGCUCGCACUUUCUGCAUUCUCCUGAUUAAGGUGCCCCCCUUUUUUUUAUUGCUAGUCUAAUCAUGCAGUUACCGCAAGUUGUCUCUCUCAACCAACCAGGGCAUCCGCCCCACUGCCUGUGUCAAUGCCUGCUUUGCACAAGCAUUCACCGCGCCACACCGCGUAGGUGUUUAUCAUAAUUGACAUGGGGUUAUUAUUUCCUUGGUCGAGAUGUUUUCUUGGUGUUUUAUUCAUUGUUUGUUUCAGCUACAAGCUCUGCUAUCUCCCUCUCUUAGGUCGUGAUUACCAGUUGUCUGCCGAUUCUCCUCUGUUUUAACCUGACCUUCCUGCUUAUCCUGGCCGAGAGGUAUACAGCACGCUCGUUCAGAAUCGGCGUGGCCACCACGGCCACUAAGCGGGGUCUGUCCCCUACUGCGAUCAAGGCGCUGGGUCGUUGGUCGUCUGGCGCAUGCGCUUCCUGCAUUUGCCUCACUCCUCAUCACGUAAUUGAAGCAUGCUAUAUCUGGUCUGUAUCUUUAUGUUUUCUAUUCUCAUUUCUGGUGACGGUGGUAUUUUGCUGCGUCGGCGGCAUUCACUCUAUCUCUUGGGGGGCUAUCGCUCCGGUCACCCGGUCAUGUCUGUAUUCUAUCCUUCUCUCAUCUAUCAGAUUGAUUUUAUAGUGGUCCGUAAGCCUGUUAUCUCCAUAUUUUGUAACAUCGAACCAGCCUGGCUAGUUGCAGUGGUUGUUUAUCCGUGAUGUCAACUAUCAUACCAUAUUACAUUAUAUUAUAGCCUACGUUCAUUCAUUCAUCCAUUCAUUCAUUUACUCAUUCAUCACCAUGUUCUACUCUCUCCCUUAGGUCACGAUUCCGGCUCCCUACCUACUGUCAUAAUCUAAGUUUUCAGCGCUCUCCUGACCAAGGUGCAUCUAUCAAUCAAAUCAUAACGCUCUACUGCCUCUCUGCUCUCAGAGCAUCUGCGCCAUCGCCCGUUAACAUAGCAUCAUCAUCAUCAUCUUCAUAGUCAUCAUCACAGGGCUCCAGCCUCUGCCGGGCCGCCGCCCAUAGCUUAAGCCUCCACUUCUCCUGACCAAGGUCACGGUUCUGGCUCUCCACCUACUCCCGUCACAAUCUAAGUUCACAGCGCUCUCCUGCCCAAGGUGCAUCUCUCAAGCAUAACCUACCGCCGUGCUGUCUCUGUUCUCAGCGCAUCCGCGCCGUGUCUUCUUGCAUAGCCAAAGAUACCGACAUUAUCAUCAUCACCAUCAUCACAGGCUUCAUGCCUCGGCUAGACUGCCGCCCAUAGCUUAAGCCUCAGAACAUCCCUAUCAUUUAUAAUCUCAUUUAAUCUAUCAUCAUUCGUCUUCCAACCUAUCACCUAUCACCUAUCACCCAUCAUCAUUGUCAUCAUUGUCAUCAUUGUCAUCAUUAUCAUCAUCAUCAUCAUCAUCAUCACCUAUCGUCCUUCAUUUUCCGUCUAUCAAUCAAUCAUCUAACUAACUUUUCAUGUCUUUCAGAUGGUGUCUCCUUGUAAGCUGUAGGUGAGUUCACUUCUAAUCUCUAUUUUUGGGGCAGGCUACGCCCGCCUCCAUCUCCGCUGGAGGAUAUGCCGUCCUACCCUGGAGUUCAACGCGAAGACGGGAACCUUCGCCAAACAGAUUCAUGCAUUUUAUAUCAAGUGUAAAUUGUUCGCCAAACGGAUUCAUGCAUUUUUGUAUCAUGUCUAUUGUUCAAUAAAUGUUAAUAACGUUCAAUUGCCUCUCGAGUCUUCAUGGUAGAAAUGGGAGCUUGCGUAAAUUCUACCAGGGAGACUCGAAUUUCUCGGCUGUCAAACUUACUAGGCUAACCAUCCAAUCUCCCUUUUGACAGAUCAUACAUGCGUCAUCAUUGCCCAGGAUCGUCAACCAAUCACAACGCGAGAUUGGGGAUUUCCCCGUUACACAUCACUCAGGCAUCGUUCCCUCUCAGCCAAUGGAUCGCAUUCACGUUUGUUUAAAAAUCAGUCACUCAUUCUGAUCUCUGCUUUCCAGUUAAGCCGACUUUGAAGCCACCACCACCCCUCCGUCCACCGUCACCAGUGGUUCCCGUCUGUUAGGGGGCAGGCUACGCCCGCCUCCAUCUCCGCUGGAGGAUAUGCCGUCCUACCCUGGAGUUCAACGCGAAGACGGGAACCUUCGCCAAACAGAUUCAUGCAUUUUAUAUCAAGUGUAAAUUGUUCGCCAAACGGAUUCAUGCAUUUUUGUAUCAUGUCUAUUGUUCAAUAAAUGUUAAUAACGUUCAA